rnacentral:misc_RNA from 1 species
AUUACGAUCUAGGGUUUUUGGUUGUGGCGGUGGGUAUUAUUUUUGUUAUAUUCGUUCAAUUUUCUUGGAUUUUGUACAUCACGUUCUGUGAAUUGUCGUCGGCUUCUGUCGGAGUUCUUUCUGGUGAAGGGUUUCGCUAUUCAUUGAGCCAGCAAGUUAUAACUGGUAAAUCACUGUGUUUUGAGGUUGCGUUUUGUUAGUUUUGUUAUUAGCAAAUGGGUGGCUUUGUAUUUGGGGUUAGGGUUUUUUUGUUCAAUUAUGUUGGUGUUGUAGGCAGUUUUACUUUGGAGGUGUAAAAUUUGAAUAUUGGACCUUAGCAGGCAAUAAAUCUUAAUUUAUUUGAACCAGUUAUUGGCUUUGAAGGUGAGCUAUUUUUUCUUUUAUUUUUUCAUUGAG